ensembl:lncRNA
AUAAAUUAUUAAAGGGUGAUGCUGUCUGUCUUAUGGCUGUUAUUAUUUUAAAUCCUUCACCCACUCUCUGACUCACAAUGCUCUCAUCUCCCUCCUGCUCUCUUCUUCUAUCUCUCCCUCCCCUCUCUCCCUUCUGCUCCUCCCCCCUCACCCUCCCUUCCUCCCCUCUCUCUCACCUGACAGUUCCCGUGCCAGUUUCUUCCACUUCUCCACAUCCAGUUCGGUGUCAGAGUCUGAGUCAGACUCGUCUCCCCCAGUAGGAGGAGGAACAGGAGGGGUCUGAGGCAUGGCGACCAUGACAGUCUCCGGCUUUGGAGGGGAGGGCUUCUUCCUCUUGUCAUUAGCGGGCAUGUCCCCUGGUUUCUCUUCACAUCUCUUCCUCUUGGCUGAUGAAGCUGAGGCCUGAAACCAGGGUUGGGCUUGGAAACUUCCUGUGAUGCUAGACAGAAUGGAUCUCAGUGUUAUUGAGCUCUGGGAGGAACUGUCUAUCUCCAGCUGGUGACUGAUGCCACGAGAUAUGAUGCACUCUCAUUUUGGAAAGGCUCAACUGGUGCUAAAACAGAGAUACUGAAAAUGAAGAAGGACAAAUUGGUAAUAAGAGACACCCCCAUUAUAGACAGAGUACACUUCUUUAUAAACAAUGGGACAUUGAGGUUAAAUAACACACGAAGUACAGAUUCUGGUGAAUACCUGCAGGAAACAUUUAAUUCAGCAGGGGUAGCACAAGGGAGCAGAGGACUACAACUGUUCAUCAAAGCUCCAGUGUCCAGUCCUCAGCUGUCCUCUGAGUGUCUGUCCCAUGGAGAGAUGAAGGUGUCCUGCUCCUCUGAGGGGGAUGGUUCCCAGUACAGCUGGACUCUGAAUGGAAAGACACUGAGAGACACUAAGGCCUCUUCUGAUAACGAGACAAACACCAUCACUCUGAAGAAAGGCCUGUCAGGAAAUCUCACCUGUACCGUCAGAAACUACAUCCGCAGUGAUUCUAUCAGCAAGAGAAUCUCACCUUGUCCAGGAGUCAGUGUGUUUGUUUAUUUCCAACUCGCUGAAGUCUUCAUUCUUCUGACAGUCUGUCUGGGAUCAUACUGUUUCUACAAGAAGGAAACCUAUCAUCAUAAAGAAGGUCAGUAAUGCACCAUUGUACCUUUAUUGAAGGUAUUUUGUUUAAUACGUUUCUCAUUUUAUUCUGCUUAAUUUUCUCUCUCUCUCUGAUGUUGAGUAAGCAGAAUGUAUGCAGUCUCAGGUGGAUCAUGGUGGGACUCAGAUGAGGGUGUUAAUGUCCUGAGAGGUGCUAUGGAGACCAACUAGGCUGUGAGAUUACAUGAUGAUGAUUUAAUAUUGCCAAUCAUUGAAAAUAUUUGUUUUCGCUCUUUAAUAAAAGGUUUAAUUAGGCUUUUAUUAUCAUUUAGAAUUUAUACUGAGCUUAUAGUACAGUGUAUUGCAUUGCAGUGUUUUGUUUUAUGUUGCUUGUGACAUACAGUAACCUAAAUGUAUGAUAUUGGGAAGACGUGUUAAAUGGUGAAAGGUAACAAAACGCUUUCCUUCUUAACUUUAUUAUGCUUUAAUAUAGUGUAUUUGUGUGAUUUUGAAUUCAUAGAAAUACAAGCAAGCAACUUUUAAAACAUUCUGGACCUCAUUUUCUAUGAACUAUUACUUUUAAAAAAUCCUGGACAUAAUUUUUCAGAAUCUACCAUUUUUUAAACAUUCUGGACGUCAUUUCUCAUUAUCUACUACUUUUAAAACAUUCUGGACCUCAUUUUAAUAACUUGCCAAAUAAUUAUUACAAAUGAUAACUUUCACAAGCUCUACAUAUUGCUCUGGCUAAACGACACAUAUGUGACUGCUUAAUAAUCAAAAUAAUGAGAAAUGCAUUUUGUGUGUAGUCAUUCAACAGGAGUCAUUUUUAUUUUCAUAGUCUACUGUAGUUGGUACAUAGAGUCUUAACCACAUCCAUCAACAUUAAAUCAUCUGUUGGUUAUUUGAAAAACAGUCAUUGUGUGUCAUUUUCAUUAUCUACUACUUUUUGUUUAAAGCACAACAAACUAAGUCACCAGAUCUGUCUCCUACUUCCUAGAAUGAUGGGCGAUGAGUUAGUCACCUGGAAUGCUUUUCAAUUAACAGGAGUCCCUUGUUAAAAGUUAAUUUGUGGAUUCUUUACCCUUCUUAAUGCGUUUGAGCUAAUCAGUUGUGAUGUGACAAGGUAAGGGUGAUAUACAGAAGAAAGCCCUAUUUGGUAAAAGACCAAGUGCAUAUUAUGGCAAGAACAGCUCAAAUAAGCAAAGAGAAACGACAGUCCAUCAUUACUUUUAGACAUAAAGGUCAGUCAAUGCGGUAAAUUUCAAGAACUUUGAAAGUGAAGUUGCAAAAACCAUCAAGCUCUAUGAUGAAACAAGUUCUCAUGAGGACCACCACAGGAAGAAAGGAAGACCCAGAGUUACCUCUGCUGCAGAGGACACGUUCAUUAGAGUUACCAGUCUCAGAAAAUGCAUCCCAAAUAAAUGUUUCACAGAGUUCAAGUAACAGAAACAUCUCAACAUCAACUGUUCAGAGGAGAAUGCGUGAAUCAGGCCUUCAUGGUCGAAUUGCUGCAAAGACACCAUUAUAAAAGUACACCAAUAAGAAGAAGAGACUUGCUUUGAACAAGAAACACUAGACCAGUGGAAAUCUGCCCUUUGGUCUGAUGAGUCAAAAUGUUAGAUUUUUGGUUCCAACCGCCGUGUCUUUGUGAGACGCAAAGUAGGUGAACGGAUGAUCUCCGCACGUGUUGUUCCCACCGUGAAGGUUGGAGGAGAAGGUGUGAUGGUGCUUUGCUGAUGACACAGUCUGUGAUUUAUGUUGAAUUCAAGGCACACUUAACCAGCAUGGCUUCCACAGCAUUCUGCAGCAAUAUGCCAUCCCAUCUGGUUUGUGCUUAGUGGGAUCAUUUGAUUUUCAACAGGACAAUGACCCAACACACCUUCAGAUUGUGUAAGGGCUAUUUGACCAAGAAGGAGAGUGAUGGGGUGCUGCAUCACUCGACCUUAACCCAUUUGAGAUGUUUUGGGAUGAGUUGGAUCGCAGAGUGAAGGAAAAGCAACCAACACGUUCUAAGCAUAUGUUGGAAUUCCUUCAAGACUGUUGGAAAAGCAUUCCAGGUGAAGCUGGUUGAGAGGAUGCCAAGAGUGUGCAACGCUGUCAUCAAGGCAAAGUCUAGCUACUAUGAAGAAUCUAUAUAUUUUGAUUAGUUUAACAAUUUUUUUGUUACUACAUUAUUCCAGAUGAGUUAUUUCAUAGUUUUGAUGUCUUCACUAUUAUUCUACAAUGUAGAAAACAGUAAAGAUUAAGAAAAACCCUUGAAUGAGUGGGUGUGUCCAAACAUUUGACUGGCACUGUAUGUAGAGUUCAAAAGGUACUUGCACUCAAAACCAUGAAAAGGAAUAACCAAAAAGGAAUAAGCAAAAAUAAUGCACUUAAUUUAAUCAAUGCUCAAAAGAAUACAAAAAGGUGCUAGAAAACAAAAACGGAUUAUACGUUUUGACCUCAUGCCUUCAUCAGUGCUGUACAAACAAAUUAUGAAGACAGCUUAUGUGUGUAACAGGCACAACAGGUGCAAGCAGAUAGUUGAUUAGAUACUGGCGAAAAGGGAGUCAGUGCAUAUUAGCAAGGAAUAUGUAGAAGAAUAUAAAAAAUGGACAAUCAAAUGUCACAUAUAAUUGGAAAGAGACAGCAGUCUGGUCUACAUAACAAUAUCAGAAGCAAUAGACAUGAAAUAAUAAAGUAAGCUAAAAAAACUGAGUGUGCGGGAGGGAGGAACAUUAACUUGAAGGGUAGUCCCUCGAGACAAGGCUAUUCUAGUGUUAUUGUUAAACAUUUGAAAGGAGUAUAUAGUACAGUAUAUUGAAGUGUUUUAUUUUAUGUUGCUUGUGAGAUACAGAAAUGAGUUUGGGAUGGCUUUAAUCAGGGAAACUGUAGCAUAGACACUUCCCUUCUUACUGUAACUUCCAAAGGUAUUUGUGAUUUUGAAUGCAUAGAAAAUAAUAAAAGCAAGUAACCUUUUGAAACAUUCUGGACCUCA